AGUUCUGUCAUCGUUCCUGCUUUUCAGGUGAGGAAACUGAGGCAUGAAGAGGUGAAGCAACUUGCCCAGGGUUACACAGCUAGCAAAUGGUAGAGUCACAGUUUGAACCC
rnacentral:pre_miRNA from 1 species